CCUACGGGAGGCAGCAGUGGGGAAUUUUGGACAAUGGACGCAAGUCUGAUCCAGCCAUUCCGCGUGCAGGAUGAAGGCCCUCGGGUUGUAAACUGCUUUUGUACGGAACGAAAAGGUCUCUCCUAAUACGAGGGGCUCAUGACGGUACCGUAAGAAUAAGCACCGGCUAACUACGUGCCAGCAGCCGCGGUAAUACGUAGGGUGCAAGCGUUGUCCGGAUUUAUUGGGUUUAAAGGGUGCGCAGGUGGUUUAUUAAGUCAGUGGUGAAAGACGGUCGCUCAACGAUUGCAGUGCCAUUGAAACUGGUAGACUUGAGUAAAGUAGAGGUGGGCGGAAUUGAUAGUGUAGCGGUGAAAUGCAUAGAUAUUAUCAAGAACUCCAAUUGCGUAGGCAGCUCACUUGGCUUUUACUGACACUCAUGCACGAAAGUGUGGGUAUCAAACAGGAUUAGAUACCCUGGUAGUCCACACUGUAAACGAUGAUAACUAGGUGUCGGCCGAAUCUGGUCGGUGCCACAGCGAAAGCGUUAAGUUAUCCACCUGGGGAGUACGCCGGCAACGGUGAAACUCAAAGGAAUUGACGG
rnacentral:rRNA from 1 species